CCAACCGCGGACUAGUGCGCGCGCGCGCGGCGGAGUCCCACCGUCACCAUGCCACCACCACCACCAACCACCACGGUUGUUUGGACUCACCGCCCGCCGCUCCUCCUCCGCCCCCACUCCACCGGGACUCACACUCACUGGACCGUGGGAAACGAGGCCACCCCCUGAUCACGGCGCCCCACCCGCGACAGCGACACCGGCGAAUCACCUUCUUCCCCGCCGCGCCGGUCAGCCCACUCGCCCGCCCGCCCGGCUAAUGCGGUCCGACGCGACGCCCGCUCGCUGUCCACGGCGCUGACAGAGAGAGAGAACGAGAGGGCCCUGGCUGACGCGGGGAGGCAGUUGGCGACCCGGGCCGGCCGGCGGAGUCCUCCCCUCCCCUCCUCCCGGUCUCCCCACCACCUUCCCCCUUUCUCUUCUCCCCCACGCGCCCAGCCGCGGAUCCUCCUGGCCGCCAUCCUUCUCCGCGGCUAAAUCCCCCGCCCGCCGCUCCUCCCACCCGCCCCCGUUCUUCAGCCGCUGCUGCUGUCUACGCCUUGACUGCGCUCCCCGCCUCUCUUUGGCUGCUCCAGCCUCCGCUUGCUUCCAGACCUGCCCCCGUGACUGAUCGCGGCUAGCUACGGGGUUAUCACCGCCGCAGCUACCAUAAUUCUCUUCUCCCCGUCCGCUGGUUCCUCCCUUUCCGCCCGUCGAUCCGGGGAAUUUCCGUCUCGCUGAAUCUUCCCUCUUUUCGCGCUCCCCGCCCCGUCCCAGCAAAGGAACCAAGAAAGCCCCGCCUUUCUACCCCCUCCUUCCCGUGAUCUUUCUGCAAGGCCACUGGAUCAGCAAAGCUUCCCGGUUCACCCAAAUCUCUCUCCUUUCCUGCCCGAAUCCAGCCAAACCUUCCCGGUCAAUUAAGCUCCUCUCGGCCGGCGUAACCGGAGCAAGAUCCCCGUCGUGAUCUCGCCGAGGGAGUGAAGUCAGUGCGGCGGCACGGUCCCCGUCCUUCUUGUCCCCCUGCCUGCCUGCCUGCCCGAGCUGCAGCACCGAUUUCACCUGCGGCCCCCAUGGACGGCCUCCACGACGGGGCGGCGGCGCCGCCGCCGCCGCAGCAGAAGCGGGACGAGUGGAGCGAGGGCGGCAUCUCGCGCCUGCUCGAGGCGUACGAGGCCAAGUGGCUGCUGCGCAACCGGGCCAAGCUCAAGUGGUCAGACUGGGUCGACAUCGCCAACGACGUCUCCGCCCACUGCUCCUCAACCUCCUCCGAGGCCGCGGGGAAGCCCGGCGGCGGCAGCGCCAAGACGCCCAACCAGUGCAAGAACAAGGUCGAGUCCAUGAAGAAGCGCUACCGGGCCGAGUCAGCCGCGGCCGCCCGCGCCGGCUCUGGCGCCGCCGGGACAGGGACAGCCAGCGCCUCGGCCACGUCGUGGCGCUUCUUCGGCCGCAUGGACGGGCUGCUCAAAGGCCCCGCCGCCGCCACCAGUUGCUCCGGCCAGCUGCACACGGAGCCGACCACCAGCAUCAGUGCAGUCCACGCAGCAAAAGCAGAGCCGGAGAUCGACGCCCACGCCGAAGCAGACGUUGCCACCCUCCGGCAGCCACCGCCGCCUGACGCAGGUCUAGCGGCCGGCACUUUCUCCGACCUGCUAAAUGCCGACGCAAAUGGUUCGGCUUCUGCGGCGGAGAAGGUGGAGCAGGUCAUCCAGAAACAGAGCAGCAGGGCCGCGGACAGCGACGGCGCGAACCUCAGCUCCCCGAGGAGCAAGGAGGAGGCGAAUGGCGUUGGCGCCGAUGAGGCAUGUGACGACGACGCGCUGCCCUCCUCCAGGAAGAGGAAGGGCUCCGGCUCGGAGCUCGACGUCGCGCGGAGCAUCGAGCUGCUGGCCAGCUCCUUCGUGAAGAUCGAGCGGGCCAGGAUGGAGAUGUACAGGGAGACGGAGAGGAUGCGCGCCGAGGCCGAGGUGAAGAAGGGCGAGAUGGAGCUCAAGAGGACGGAGAUCAUGGCCAAGACGCAGCUGCAGAUCGCCAGGCUCUUCGCCAAGAGGCUCAGGGAGUUCAGCGGCAAUGGCAGGAAUGGUGGCAGCUCCUCUGAAGUGGAUGGCAUUGCCAAGAAAGGCGAAAAUGAAUUUGACCAAAUCAGAGGUGGGCCACGAUUGAGAUAGACUUGAAGAUAUACAUGAAAGGAAGAACAAGAAUUGGCCUUAUACACGAAGUUGGGCUGAAUUGCCCAUGUAUCUGUAAUUUAGUAGAUCGCAUCUUAGAUUAAAAAUUAGAGAUUUACUCGUGCACGGUUAGGUGCACGUCCGAAUUAGAAAGUCCGCUGGACUAUAAAUAUGUAUCUAGGGUUUAUGGAAUAAACAACAACACAACGUUCACCCCAAAACAAACCAAUCUCGGCGCAUCGCUAACUCCUUCGUCUCGAGGGUUUCAAUCAGGUAAGCGACAUGCUGCCUAGAUCGCAUCUUGCGAUCUAGGCAGCACAAGCUCCACGUUGUUCAUGCGUUGCCCGUACUGAAGCGUCUUUGAUGGCGGGCAACGUAGUUAUCAUAGAUGUGUUAGGGUUAGCAUAGUUCUCCGUAUAACAUGCUUACGUAGUGCAACCCUUGCAUGUCUAGCCGCCCUCACACCUAUCUCAGGUGUGGGGGCGGCACCCUGCUUGUUCAUUAUUUAGUAGAUCUGAUCCGUUACGAUUGCUCCUUGCUCUGCAAGGAUUAGUUUAAUAUGUGCAAUAGUUAGGCCUUACAAAGGGGGGGAGGAUCCAGCGGCACGUAGGGUGGCGCUCGCAAGUCCUAAACAGGAUGUUCCGAGGAUCAACGCCAUGUUGGUUUUUUGGCCUUGUUUAGGAUCGGCUUACGAGCACCGUGCGUGGCCGCGAGGCCCAACCUGGAGUAGGAUGAUCCGAUUAUGCGGUGAAAACCCUAAAUCGUCGUAGAUCUCAUUAGCUUUAUCUUGAUCAAGCAGGAUCACCAAGUAUUCGUGCACCCCGUACGAAUCAUGGGUGGAUCGGCUCUUUGAGCCGAUUCACAGGAUAACCUGAGAGCCGAUCGAGGCUCUUAUUUAAUGUUUACGUGUAUGCCAUGCAGGAACUAAGCGAGGCAUCCCCAUCACCUUCCCGACCGGGUAUAGGUCAGGUGGCACGCCCUGCACUUCGCAUCGCCGCGUGUGACCAGAAGAGCAUUGCGGGCCGUCGCUCGGAGGGGUCUCAGCCAGCCGCAGCUCUAGGCUCUUCCCGGCUCUACCUGUGUUGACAGGCCGCUGCCCGCCGGUGGGUUUUGGCAGUCAACAACUUGAUAGCACAGAUACAUAAUUGGCCGCACCAACAAUGUACCACCUAUCACCUGGGCAUGGGUUCGGGGUGAUUGGCCAAUCAAAGCAGACCUGAUUUUCCUCUUGAAAGCAGAUCAACCGUCAGCUCUCCUGGGCGUCGCACGGCUGGCUUUCAGACAAAAGGCCUUCUCGGGCCAAGAAAAAAAUGUAAUUUGUCCGAUUGAUUCAUCUUCACCAUUAGUGAAGACAUAGUUAGCUGUCAAACCAAAUCGCGAAGCGAGGAAAACAAUCAGGAGUGGUAGUGUUGCUAGUGUUCAGGAUCUGUUGACAAGCUUUUGCUGACAAUCAUCACCCGUAAGAUGGUGCAGUUCUCUGUGGAUGCUGGUAGGAUGGGCCAUGCUGGAGAGAUUUGUGCUGUUGACUGCUGAGUGUUGUGAGCAUGAUGAUUCUUCCAUGUACUCUAUGCUGACUGCCACAUUUUCUCGUGCACUGCAUAAGGCUUCAGAGCCUCAUUUUCUUUU